AUCUGGGCGGCGGAAUUCAGGAUGGCUGGCGUGCUCUCGCAGUACGUCGGUCGUUUGAUAUUUCCGUCGCCAACUAACCGCAGACGUCGCGACCUGUUCGCGGUCGGUCCCUGCUCGGAGGAGCCGCGAUCGAGUUCGUUGUGGGCGCGUCUCGUACGCGUCUCACGGCGAAGACGCGGAUCUCUGGCUGGCCGUCGGACAGUAUGCUUAACGGUGUCCGGUGUCGUCGUCUCGUACGCGCGGCACCGCUACCGGUCAGCGACGAAUUCUUCGGGCCUCUUUCCGACCCGUCUUGAAACACGGACCAAGGAGUCUAACAUGCGCGCGAGUCGCGGGGUAUCGAGCGUACUUCGGUGCGUUCGUUAUGUUGCGAAACCCGUACAUGUCGAAGGCGUAAUGAAAGUGAAUGGGGAAGAUGGUGUUCCGAGUACACGUUCCGUGAUCAUCGGCAUCGCGGCCGGACACCCGCAUUCCCGGGGCGUCUCAACGGCCCGUCGCUGAUGCGGACAGUCGUCUUUCGGGGCGGCUGUCGGUCGGCGACGAACCGA
rnacentral:rRNA from 1 species